rnacentral:lncRNA from 1 species
ACACCGCUGUGUUUUAGCUCUUCAGUCAUAUAUUGUCAGAUCUAGUGUCCAUUCGCCUGUUUUGAUGUCCUUCUGAUGAUAUUUAAAAGGUUUAUACUGAAUAUCAAGAACUCUUCAUUUGUAACGCAGCACUUUAUACUUCCCUUUAUUCAUCAGGGGUCGCCACAGUGGAUUGAACCGCCAACUUAUCCAGCAUACGUUUUACGCAGCAGAUGUCCUUCCAGCUGCAACCCAGUACUGGGAAACACCCAUAUACUCACAUUUGCAUGUCUUUGGACUGAGGGAAACCUGAUCACCCAGAGGAAACCCAUGCU